AGAGGAGAACUCGGAAACUGCGAAUAAUUGAAUCUAUAACCUCCGGCCGUAGGAACAUCGACGUAGCCACUAUGCCACUACGGCGGCUAGUUAAAUGCCCGAGCGUUCGCUAUUUAAGUAAAGCAGGGGGUUUCCGAAGUUUCAAAGGCGAUUUUCUCGAAAGCGCUAGAGUGGUGGCCCCCAAUAUAGGGGUGGUUCUUCAUCUGCUCUUUGUGCUCUUUCGGAUGGCAGAGUGUCGCCAAAAUCCCAGACGCAUCGGGUGCGAUGUUCCCUUGUUAGAUGAAUCCUUAAAACGAAAAUGUAUAUACAAAUAUUUCCCCAAC
rnacentral:lncRNA from 1 species